CCUACGGGGCGCACCAGUGGGGAAUAUUGGACAAUGGGCGCAAGCCUGAUCCAGCUAUGCCGCGUGAGUGAAGAAGGCCUUAGGGUUGUAAAGCUCUUUCACCGGUGAAGAUAAUGACGGUAACCGGGGAAGAAGCCCCGGCUAACUUCGUGCCAGCAGCCGCGGUAAUACGAAGGGGGCUAGCGUUGUUCGGAAUUACUGGGCGUAAAGCGCGCGUAGGCGGAUAGAUAAGUCAGAGGUGAAAUCCCGGGGCUCAGCCCCGGAAUUGCCUUUGAUACUGUUUAUCUUGAGUGCAGAAGAGGUAAGUGGAAUUCCGAGUGUAGAGGUGAAAUUCGUAGAUAUUCGGAGGAACACCAGUGGGGAAGGCGGCUUACUGGUCUGCAACUGACGCUGAGGCGCGAAAGCGUGGGGAGCAAACAGGAUUAGAUACCCCGGUAGUC
rnacentral:rRNA from 1 species